GACGAACGCUGGCGGCGUGCUUAACACAUGCAAGUCGAACGGAAAGGCCCUGCUUUUGUGGGGUGCUCGAGUGGCGAACGGGUGAGUAACACGUGAGUAACCUGCCCUUGACUUUGGGAUAACUUCAGGAAACUGGGGCUAAUACCGGAUAGGAGCUCCUGCUGCAUGGUGGGGGUUGGAAAGUUUCGGCGGUUGGGGAUGGACUCGCGGCUUAUCAGCUUGUUGGUGGGGUAGUGGUUUACCAAGGCUUUGACGGGUAGCCGGCCUGGGAGGGUGACCGGCCACAUUGGGACUGAGAUACGGCCCAGACUCCGACGGGAGGCAGCAGGGGGGAAUAUUGCACAAUGGGCGGAAGCCUGAGGCAGCAACGCCGCGUGCGGGAUGACGGCCUUCGGGUUGUAAACCGCUUUCGCCUGUGACGAAGCGUGAGUGACGGUAAUGGGUAAAGAAGCACCGGCUAACUACGUG
rnacentral:rRNA from 1 species